GACGAACGCUGGCGGCGUGCCUAAUACAUGCAAGUCGAGCGAAUGGAUUUGGAGCUUGCUCCAAUGAAGUUAGCGGCGGACGGGUGAGUAACACGUGGGCAAUCUGCCCGUAAGACUGGGAUAACUCCGGGAAACCGGGGCUAAUACCGGAUAAUCCCGACUCUCUCCUGAGAGUCGGUUGAAAGAUGGUUUCGGCUAUCACUUACGGAUGAGCCCGCGGCGCAUUAGCUAGUUGGUGGGGUAAUGGCCCACCAAGGCGACGAUGCGUAGCCGACCUGAGAGGGUGAUCGGCCACACUGGGACUGAGACACGGCCCAGACUCCUACGGGAGGCAGCAGUAGGGAAUCUUCCGCAAUGGACGAAAGUCUGACGGAGCAACGCCGCGUGAGUGAUGAAGGUUCUCGGAUCGUAAAGCUCUGUUGUUAGGGAAGAACACGUACGAGAGUAACUGCUCGUACCUUGACGGUACCUAACCAGAAAGCCACGGCUAACUACGUGCCAGCAGCCGCCGUAACAC
rnacentral:rRNA from 1 species